AAGAACUCUUAGGUAUCAUAUUGUGAAUUGUAACCACUUAGUUUUAAUUUAAUGUCAAAAUAUUAUGUUCCAUUAUCAUGUUGAGUGGAUGUCUUAAAUUGAUGUAUGUAGAGAUUUAUGUUUAUUGGCAAUUAACUGAAUAUGUAUAUAAACUACCACUGAAACACCAAGCUUCAUUCCGUCUCUGAAGAAGUGGGGCUGACUCCCACGAAACGCGUUAGACAGAUCAAGCAGGAUACGGGCACAGUGAUUGUUCCAGCCAGCAGAACAUUACCUCUACCGAGAAACUCUUACGAUCUAGGGACCGAUCAGCCUGUAGCGCUCGUCUCUCAGAGUGAGGUCUGAGACGCACGCUAUCCUCACCGGCAGCCGACAGCUAGACAGAUUGUUUGUCACACACUAUCUUCAUCCAUCCUAGCCGGUCCCUGACCGAUUUCCACCGUGCUGGUAAUAUCCUUGUAUACCGUUCCUGGCUUGUAUUUCUAAUGUAUUUUUUAAUAUAUUUUUUAUAUUGUGUUAAUAAAC